rnacentral:lncRNA from 12 species
GCAGAACUGUAAUUAUUUACAAAAUGAUGGCAUGAGAAAUCUCUGGAUUUAUAUCUUACGUUAAAGUAACUUAGAUGGUGUCCACAUAAUUCUUGAAUUCGUGCUAAGAAGUUAAAAUUUCUUCAGGAGAAAAAAAAAGAUAAUAUAAUCGUCGGAAUCCUUUGCUCACACACCAAAAUGAUUUUGAGAGGAAAUUGAAAAGACAGAAUGAAGAACGUUGUCAUUGGUAUAAAAUUUUAAGAAGCAUGAAACAGGAACCUUAGGUCUUUUCAAACAUCUCCACCUUUUCCAUUUGGACAAUCCCAG